rnacentral:misc_RNA from 1 species
GCCACCACUCCCUUAAUAUCCAUCCCCGCGCAAAAGGCACGGGGCGAGCUUCCCUCGACGAGAACACAUUUCACGGUCGGAUUACUCUCCCACUCGUCGAGAAAGCCCUUGAAUCUCACAUCCAUAUCUAGAUUCAUGGCGUUGAGGGCUUUGGGGCGGUCGAGGGUGAUGACGGCGACGCCGUUAGGGGAGACGGUGGCCUUGACGAAGUCGUCGGCGGUGCCAGCCAUGGCGGCG